CAGCAGCCGCGGUAAUACGAAGGGUGCAAGCGUUAAUCGGAAUUACUGGGCGUAAAGCGUGCGUAGGCGGUGAGUUAAGUCUGCUGUGAAAUCCCCGGGCUCAACCUGGGAAUGGCAGUGGAUACUGGCUCGCUAGAGUGUGUCAGAGGAUGGUGGAAUUCCCGGUGUAGCGGUGAAAUGCGUAGAGAUCGGGAGGAACAUCAGUGGCGAAGGCGGCCAUCUGGGACAACACUGACGCUGAGGCACGAAAGCGUGGGAAGCAAACAGGAUUAGAUACCCCCGUAGUCCCUGUCUCUUAUAC
rnacentral:rRNA from 1 species